rnacentral:rRNA from 1 species
UUGAGGCGGCCACAGCGGCGGGGGUCCUCCCCUACCCAUCCCGAACACGGACGAUAAGCCCGCCUGCGUAUCGGCCAGGACUGGAGUGCGCGAGCCUCUGGAAACUCCGAUUCGCCGCCAUCCA